rnacentral:rRNA from 1 species
AUGGUUGGCAGCUUCUUUGGUUCAACCCAGAAUGUGCCUUCAACAAAACGGACGUUGCGCAAUCUGUGUGGCCGGAUAAGUCAAGACCAGACUGACGAUGAUGGAAAUAAGACACUAGCUGUAUUCAAAGGGAUACAACGGAACGAUCCAGAAUUUACCUACCGAGUACAAGGUGAUGAGGAAAGCAGGAUCAAGCGAGAUACCUCACGAACUGAAGAUGUUCUUCCUGCCCUGCCUCCCUCGGACACUGGAGCUGUUGUUCGGUCGCCGUCCACAUCCGAAAGGCCCCCAUCAAGAUCCUCCAAGAACGAAGGAUUCCAAGAGAAAAGCCUCAUCAAGAUCCUCACCAAGGUAUUCCCAUCAGAAUUAUGGAAGUGUUCAAAUGCUAAUGACCUCAAAAAAAUUCAAUUACACAUGCUUUAG